GGACUGUCAUAUGCAAAAUGGUUUAUUGAGCUCCCUCACUGGGCCAGGAACCAUGCAGAACCUACAGGAUAUAGUCCUUGCUUUGCUUUUCAGGAGAAGAUAUUCUAAGCCACUGCACCCCAUACAUGAGAGAGGACACAGCAGCAUGCAAAUAAUAAUAGCCCACAUCUAUGUUGUAUUGGAAGGCGAUUCAGAGGGAUCAGGGGAGACCCCAACUCAUAGGUCCUCACAAGGUUCCAAGAUGCAUGCUUGGCACCUGUCUGCAUUUUGGGAGGAGUGACGGGCGAGCUCCAGAGGGAGAAUGAUCCGCUGAAGAACGGGCAUCAACGAGCCAGGAAGAUUUUCUCCCAUUCUGGGGAGGCAGCCGUCAUGAAUAUCUGCCAAUACUCACCUUUCUGGUCCUCCACCUUCUUCCCCACAUCCUUCACUCCAAGUGAAAAUCUUCUCUCAAUCUUCUAAGAACAAAUGUUUCCUAGAGAAAUGGGGGCAUUUAUGGUGUGACUUUGGCUGGAGUCUUUGAUUUGAAAUGCACUCUAAUUGGGCUGAUACUCUCAUAAAUGUUAUUUUAUUAAGUUAGGCCGCAAUAAAUCUGUCAUCUCCAUAA
rnacentral:lncRNA from 1 species